rnacentral:rRNA from 1 species
CCUACGGGGGGCAGCAGUGAGGAAUAUUGGUCAAUGGACGAGAGUCUGAACCAGCCAAGUAGCGUGAAGGAUGACUGCCCUAUGGGUUGUAAACUUCUUUUAUAUGGGAAUAAAACGUUCCACGUGUGGGAUUUUGUAUGUACCAUAUGAAUAAGGAUCGGCUAACUCCGUGCCAGCAGCCGCGGUAAUACGGAGGAUCCGAGCGUUAUCCGGAUUUAUUGGGUUUAAAGGGAGCGUAGGUGGAUUGUUAAGUCAGUUGUGAAAGUUUGCGGCUCAACCGUAAAAUUGCAGUUGAAACUGGCAGUCUGGAGUACAGUAGAGGUGGGCGGAAUUCGUGGUGUAGCGGUGAAAUGCUUAGAUAUCACGAAGAACUCCGAUUGCGAAGGCAGCUCACUGGACUGCAACUGACACCGAGGCUCGAAAGUGUGGGUAUCAAACAGGAUUAGAUACCCGGGUAGUC